AACGAACGCUGGCGGCGCGCCUAAUACAUGCAAGUCGAGCGAGAAGGUGUAGCAAUACACUUGUAAAGCGGCGAACGGGUGAGGAAUACAUGGGUAAUCUACCAUCGAGUGGGGAAUAACCAACCGAAAGGUUGGCUAAUACCGCGUACGCCUCCGGGUCUUCGGGUUCGGAGGGAAAGCUGCACUGUGAGUGUAGCGCUCUUUGAUGAGCUCAUGUCCUAUCAGCUUGUUGGUAGGGUAACGGCCUACCAAGGCUUUGACGGGUAGCUGGUCUGAGAGGACGAUCAGCCACACUGGCACUGCGACACGGGCCAGACUCCUACGGGAGGCAGCAGUAAGGAAUAUUGCGCAAUGGGCGAAAGCCUGACGCAGCGACGCCGCGUGGGGGAUGAAGGUCUUCGGAUUGUAAACCCCUUUCGGGAGGGAAGAUGGAGCGAGCAAUCGUUCGGACGGUACCUCCAGAAGCAGCCACGGCCAACUUCGUGCCAGCAG
rnacentral:rRNA from 1 species